rnacentral:rRNA from 1 species
UAGUCCACGCCGUAAACGAUGUUCACUCGCUGUUGGCGAUAUACUGUCAGCGGCCAAGCGAAGGCAUUAAGUGAACCACCUGGGGAGUACGAUCGCAAGGUUGAAACUCAAAGGAAUUGACGGGGGCCCGCACAAGCGGUGGAGCAUGUGGUUUAAUUCGAUGAUACGCGAGGAACCUUACCAGGGCUUAAAUGUAGUAUGACAGACUGAGAGAUCGGUUUUUCUUCGGACAUAUUACAAGGUGCUGCAUGGUUGUCGUCAGCUCGUGCCGUGAGGUGUCAGGUUAAGUCCUAUAACGAGCGCAACCCCUGUUGUUAGUUGCCAUCGAGUAAUGUCGGGAACUCUAACAAGACUGCCGGUGCAAACCGCGAGGAAGGUGGGGAUGACGUCAAAUCAUCACGGCCCUUACGUCCUGGGCCACACACGUGCUACAAUGGUAGGUACAGAGAGCAGCCACGUCGCGAGGCGGAGCGAAUCUAUAAAACCUAUCUCAGUUCGGAUCGG